UACGGGGGGAGCAAGCGUUGUUCGGAUUUACUGGGCGUAAAGCGUACGUAGGCGGUUAUUCAAGUCAGAGGUGAAAGCCCGGGGCUCAACCCCGGAACUGCCUUUGAAACUAGAUAGCUAGAAUCUUGGAGAGGUCAGUGGAAUUCCGAGUGUAGAGGUGAAAUUCGUAGAUAUUCGGAAGAACACCAGUGGCGAAGGCGACUGACUGGACAAGUAUUGACGCUGAGGUACGAAAGCGUGGGGAGCAAACAGG
rnacentral:rRNA from 1 species